ACAAGCGGAGGAGCAUGUGGUUUAAUUUCGAUGAUACGCGAGGAACCGUUACCUGGGCUUAAAUGCUUAAUGACGUACUGGGAAACUGGUAUUUCUUCGGACAUUUUGCAAGGUGCUGCAUGGUUGUCGUCAGCUCGUGCCGUGAGGUGUCGGGUUAAGUCCCAUAACGAGCGCAACCCCUAUUGUUAGUUGCCAUCAGGUCAUGCUGGGGACUCUAACAAAACUGCCCGCGUAAGCGUGGAGGAAGGUGGGGAUGACGUCAAAUCAGCACGGCCCUUACGUCCAGGGCUACACACGUGCUACAAUGGCCGGUACAGAGGGCAGCCACUUGGUGACAAGGAGCAAAUCUCAAAAGCCGGUCUCAGUUCGGAUCGGAGUCUGCAACUCGACUCCGUGAAGUUGGAUUCGCUAGUAAUCGUAGAUCAGCAAUGCUACGGUGAAUACGUUCCCGGGUCUU
rnacentral:rRNA from 1 species